rnacentral:rRNA from 1 species
GAAGAACCUUACCAGGGCUUGAUAUAUGGUUGAAACGGGGGAGAGGCGUGGCCGAGAGGAGCCCAUACAGGUGGUGCAUGGCUGUCGUCAGCUCGUGUCGUGAGAUGUUGGGUUAAGUCCCGCAACGAGCGCAACCCCCGCCGCGUGUUGCCAUCGGGUGAUGCCGGGAACCCACCCGGGCCCGCCGCCGUCAAGGCGGAGGAGGGCGGGGACGACGUCAAGUCAUCAUGCCCCUUAUCCCUGGGCCCACACGUGCUACAAUGGCCGGUACAGAGGGAUGCCCCCCCGCGAGGGGGAGCGGAUCCCGGAAAGCCGGCCCCAGUUCGGAUUGGGGGCUGCAACCCGCCCCCAUGAAGUCGGAGUGCUAGUAAUCGCGUAUCC